GAUGAACGCUGGCGGCGUGCCUAAUACAUGCAAGUCGAGCGAACGGACGAUAAGCUUGCUUCUCUGCUGUUAGCGGCGGACGGGUGAGUAACACGUGGAUAACCUACCUCUAAGACUGGGAUAACUUCGGGAAACCGGAGCUAAUACCGCAUAAUAUUUUGAACCGCAUGGUUCAAAAGUGAAAGACGGUCUUGCCGUCACUUAUAGAUGGAUCCGCGGUGCAUUAUAUAGUGGGUAAGGUAACGGCUUACCAACGAAACGAUGCAUAGCCGACCUGAGGGGGAGAUGGGCCACUGUGAAACUGACACAGGGCCCAGACCCACACGAGAGACAGGAGUAGGGAAUUUGCCGCAAUGGGCGAAAGCCAGACAGAGCAACGCCGCGUGAGUGAAGAAGGUCUUCGGAUUGUAAAACUCUGUUAUUAGGGAAGAACAUAUGUGUAAGUAACUGGGCGGACUUAGAGUGUACCUAAACAGAAAGCCGCGGAAAACCACG
rnacentral:rRNA from 1 species